UGAGGAAUAUUGGUCAAUGGGCGAGAGCCUGAACCAGCCAAGUAGCGUGCAGGAUGACGGCCCUAUGGGUUGUAAUCUGCUUUUAUAUGGGAAUAAAGUGAGGGACGUUUCCCUUAUUUCAUGUACCAUAUGAAUAAGUACCGGCUAAUUCCGUUCCAGCAGCCGCGGUAAUACGGAAGGUCCAGGCGUUAUCCGGAUUUAUUGGGUUUAAAGGGAGCGUAGGCUGUUUGUUAAGCGUGUUGUGAAAUGUAAGAGCUCAACUUUUAGAUUGCAGCGCGAACUGGCAGACUUGAGUGCGCACAACGUAGGCGGAAUUCAUGGUGUAGCGGUGUAAUGCUUAGAUAUCAUGACGAAAUCCGAUUGCGAAGGCAGCUUACGGGAGCGCAACUGACGCUAAAGCUCGAAGGUGCGGGUAUCGAACAGG
rnacentral:rRNA from 1 species